rnacentral:lncRNA from 1 species
UAGACGAAAAUGUAAUCGAAACUGUUGACCAGCCAAGCCCACUUCACCCCAUCUUAGAACCAUCAUUACAGAUUUGUCCAAUUUGCCAGAUCUCUUUCCCAACUGAUGUCUUGCCUUUUCAUGCAAGCAUGUGUGGUGAAGGGUAAAGUUA